rnacentral:rRNA from 1 species
GGCUACGGCCACACCUCCUGAGCACGCCCGAUCUCGUCUGAUCUCGGAAGCUAAGCAGGGUCGGGCCGGUUAGUACUUGGAUGGGAGACCGCCUGGGAAUACCAGGUGCUGUAAGCC